rnacentral:lncRNA from 1 species
GGAGGAAUCGUUUGGUGGCUUUUGAGUGAAAUCCAAUCUCUACAACUAUGAAUACACCAACUACUCCAUUUCAUAACGAACUUCGUACGAACCUGAAUUGUCCAAUUUCAUGGACCAAUCGAUAUCGGAUUCAGUCCAAAACUUGGGGAAGAACAUAAUACGGUGGGAGGAGUCAUUUGGUGGGUUUUGAGUGAAAUCCAAUCUCUACAACUAUGC